rnacentral:rRNA from 1 species
GACGAACGCUGGCGGCGUGCUUAACACAUGCAAGUCGAACGGAAAGGCCCUGCUUUUGUGGGGUGCUCGAGUGGCGAACGGGUGAGUAACACGUGAGUAACCUGCCCUUGACUUUGGGUUAACUUCAGGAAACUGGGGCUAAUACCGGAUAGGAGCUCCUGCUGCAUGGUGGGGGUUGGAAAGUUUCGGCGGUUGGGGAUGGACUGGCGGCUUAUCAGCUUGUUGGUGGGGUAGUGGCUUACCAAGGCCUUGACGGGUAGCCGGCCUGAGAGGGUGACCGGCCACAUUGGGACUGAGGUACGGCCCAGACUGCUACGGGAGGCAGCAGUGGGGAAUAUUGCACAAUGGGCGGAAGCCUGAUGCAGCGACGCCGCGUGCGGGAUGACGGCCUUCGGGUUGUAAACCGCUUUCGCCUGUGACGAAGCGUGAGUGACGGUAAUGGGUAAAGAAGCACCGGCUAACUACGUG